CUGAAUGAGGAAAAACACCUCUCUAUGAUGAUGGUCAGUAAAAAGGAAACAUUUUGCACCAAAGAGAUAACAUUACACCCAACAGGUAACACUUUGAACCUAACAAGUAACAUUUUGAACCAAGCGGGUAACAUUUCAAACCCAGCUGAUAACAUUUUAUACCCAACAGGAAGCAUUCUGGACCUUUUUGUUCCGCUCAGCUGCCAUCACAGGACUCCUCUCAUCCUGGAGAUCAGAGAUCAAUGCCUCAUUCAUCGCCGUCACUUUGUUUUCCUGUAAUAAACCUGCUGCGUGUCUCUUUCCCCUUCGAUCCUCCGCUCGGUCAGACACACUCUGGCUUGUAUGUUAAUAAUCGUAGAGCUCAGUAGGAUGGACGGAUAACAGGUUGUUGCUUGAUGACUCAGACCUCCCACCUUCUCUUCCUCUACUCCCCAUCCAUCUGUACGUCUCAUCUGUUCCCUCCGAUCCUCUACAACAUAUUACAUGACCCGUCUUUGGGAGAAAAAAAAAAGCUCGCUCGCUCGCUCUCAUCCCGACAGGAAACACACAGCUGUAGAGUUUAAGAAGCAGGAGGAGGAUGAUGGAAAUACAGUCGUCGUGUUUUGGCGUUAAUGCCUCGACUCUUCGGGGAACGACAGAUGAGCAGCUGAAACAAAACUCCCCACGGCAACACACACACACACACACACACACACAAACACACACAAACAGAAGGAGAGCAGGUGGAGGAACACACACACACAAUCACACAAUCACACAACUCUCAGAGAACAUGAAGUGGUUUUUCUUCCUGACUAGAUGCAGAUGCAGAAGAUAUUCAUACAUAACUAAAUAGAUAGUCUUUGUGUUUCUGUUGCUUCUCACAAACCGAUGACGUGAUUUUGUGCACAUUCGCAGUUGCUUCUGAUUGUGUUUCUUCUGAUUUUUCACUGUAAGAAAUGACUGUUUGACCAAAGUUCUGUGUUUUACAAAAGAAACUUGUGCUACUUUAAUGAAUCCCGAGAUCGAAGGCGAGCAAGCAUUUAAGAGUUUGUCACAGUUUCUCCUCUUUCCUCGUCCACUGAGUCUUUAGAUGACACUUACAUAUAACAUACGUAUCUUACAACCGGCGCAAAGUGGCGCCAAGCGUGACUCAAGUGUCUUUGCUAGUUUGAGACUAACGCAGUAGUCAUUUUCCCGUCCAGCGGCCAUGUUGUUUAAAUAGCAAAUACACUUGCGACUGUUAUCAAGACAGUAAUAUGCGAAUACAUAGACGGGUGCACAACAUGUUUACACUCACACAUGGAAAUAUACAAUGUGAAAGAUUAUUAUUGUGUACAUCAACAACCAUGUAAUAAUCGUUAGUCAUAUUAUUUAUCAGAAGUAGCUAAUCACAGUGAUGAUGGAUGAAAUCGUCUAAUUAUGUGACCAAAUUGUGGCAACAUGUAAGUAUUUAAACAGACUCGUCAGGUUGAAGGUGUCUGUCAAGACCCAGCAAACAGAUUUCAACAACAGAUCAGACACGGAUCGACUUUCCUGCUGCAUCAAUACAUGAAGACAUGAGGAAAUAAAUGAGGUGAAAACAAUGAUUAAACUAUAGAAGGAAAGAACUCUGGACAGCUAAUAACUGCUGCCAGCAGCAGGAUCAGCACCUUGGAGAGCUCUUCAAGUCCUGACAACUGUAUUAAACAAAUAUUCUUUAACAUCUUGUGACGCUAACUGCAUAUAAAUACAUCAAAGAGUUAGCAUGCUAAAACCCACGGCUAUCAAAUAAUCCCUCUCCACCAGAAGUUGCCACUGUGAAAAUAAAAUUAUAAUCUAGUGUAAUACUGAUAAACCUCUGCUCUACAUUAUAUCAUGGAUUUAUUGACCCAUCAGAUCAGAGGGUGGAUCUGCUGGUUAUUCUCAGCUCUCGGCGAGUGAACAACAGGUGAUCAGGCUUCAGCAGUAAAAACUCCCAGAUUUUGGAAUAAUCUGCCUGUUGAGAUUAAACAGGCUUGUUUGUUUUUGCAUUUGCCGUCAUUUAUUUGCUUUUUUUGCGAAGCACUUUGUAACUUUGGUAAAAAAAAAAAGUGCUACAUAAAAACAUAAAGAUAGUUUAGCAGAGGCAGCAUUCAUCAUUAUCCUCUGUCAACAUUAAAGCACGUUUUAUUUAAUUUAUGGAUUGUUAACUAACGUCAAAUCUUUCUGAUUGAUCUUUUCACUUGGAUGAAUAAAGACGUCGAGGUUCCUGCUUGCUCGUUGGACCGGUGGAGUUUUUAAAGGCGUCUCCGGCUGAAACACUGCAACUGAAAACUUUUCUCCAGACUUGUUUUGUUUCUGUCGUUUCUGUCGGCCUUCGAUGCGUUAUUUAUAAAUGAGCUCCGACGAGCGGCAGCGUGUCCUGCCGAUCUCGCCGUUAACUUCUGGUUCUGGCCUCGUUACUUCCACUCGACACACGGCGGUUUGUUUGCAGUUUAGUGUCCGCUCUGUUAUCUUCUUGUACUUGUUAGAUGCAAUUUCAUUUUAUCUGCUUCCCUUUAUUUCUCAUCUCCUUCGCCUCCGCCAACUCAUCAUUACAGAUAUUACCGUCUGCCUCGUGUUUGUUGUUGUUGUGUGGCGUUACGAUUCCGUGUCGAGGUGAAGAGAUGUUUCUGACGUGAAGUCGUCAUUAUCCCGCUUUAACUAACACCGACAGGCGGGGAUUAGGGUUCACCAGCACCUUUCAUUUCCCUGUGAUUGACUGUCAGAUACGCGGUUUAUUUCAAAAAAAUCGAAUGACUUAACUGAAGCCUUUGAGCCGCAGAAGCUCCACACAAAUCAAAUCAUCCAGUCAAAAGGAAGUCGGACGUCUGUUCCGUCUUAUUUCUGUUGUUGUUGCCCUAAUGAUCAGGCUGCUCGGGGCUUCUAACGUUCACACAUUUUCUCUGUGAGAAACGCCAAAUUUUUCCUCUUCAAAGAUGCAGAGGA